UACGUAGGGGGCGAGCGUUGUCCGGAGUUACUGGGCGUAAAGCGCACGCAGGCGGUCUGCGAAGUUUGGAGUGACAGUUGGUGGCUCAACCACCAAAGUGCUUUGAAAACUGACAGACUUGAGGGCUUCAGAGGGACACGGAAUUCCGGGUGGAGUGGUGAAAUGCGUAGAGAUCCGGAGGAACACCAAAGGCGAAGGCAGUGUCCUGGGGAGUACCUGACGCUCAGGUGCGAAAGCCAGGGGAGCGAACAGG
rnacentral:rRNA from 1 species